GCGCCCAUAGCUCAGGAGGAUAGAGCGUCGGAUUGCGGAUCCGGAGGCCGUAGGUUCGAGUCCUACUGGGCGCGCCA
rnacentral:tRNA from 1 species